rnacentral:rRNA from 1 species
GAGUUUGAUCCUGGCUCAGGACGAACGCUGGCGGCGUGCUUAACACAUGCAAGUCGAACGUGAUCCGGAGCUUGCUCCGGUGAAAGUGGCGCACGGGUGAGUAACGCGUGGAUAAUCUGCCCUGGUAUCUGGGAUAACAUCUCGAAAGGGGUGCUAAUACCGGAUAAGCCUACGGUCUCUUCGGAGUCUGCAGGAAAAGGUGGCCUCUAUUUAUAAGCUACCGUAUCAGGAUGAGUCCGCGUACCAUUAGCUAGUUGGUGGGGUAAUGGCCCACCAAGGCUACGAUGGUUAGCUGGUCUGAGAGGAUGAUCAGCCACACUGGAACUGAGACACGGUCCAGACUCCUACGGGAGGCAGCAGUGGGGAAUUUUGCGCAAUGGGGGAAACCCUGACGCAGCAACGCCGCGUGAGUGAUGAAGGCUUUCGGGUCGUAAAGCUCUGUCAGAGGGGAAGAAAUGAGUCUGGYUAAUAUCCAGAUUUCUUGACGGUACCCUCAAAGGAAGCACCGGCUAACUCCGUGCCAGCAGCCGCGGUAAUAC